AGCCCUCACUGUCGCCUGGUCGUUGUGGGGGGUUGAUGAUCGUUACUAGAAAAGUGAAGUUUUCUAGUAAUGGUCAUCAAGCUCUUACAACGGCCAGGCGACAUUGCGGACU
rnacentral:pre_miRNA from 1 species